AUGCUGUCAUCAUCAGCUUUUUCCCUGAGUAUCUAUUUGCAUUCCUCCAUCUGUCCUUCCCUUCGUCCCACCCUCUCUCGCUCAUUCUCACAAGUCUUCAUAUUUCUCUGUUUCUUGCUUUCUCUCUCCUGGUUAUUCAUUGUGUGUUGUCUUGAGUUGCCAGCAUUUGUACACAUGGCAUGUAAUGGCUAUUACACUGUCGUCAUUAUCCCUCUCCAGAACAGCCUCAACAGCCCUGACGCACUGCACUGCUUCCACUGGCUUAAGAGACGUAGAGAUCUGGAAAGACAAAAAGACAUCCUGUGGGCUGAACUGCAGGUUGUGGAACAAACCAAGCUGUGGUACCAGAAUCGUCUGAAGCUGAAUUUACAAAGGGAAGUUAGCUUCAGCACAGGUGACUUGGAUGAAGAGGGCAGGUGGUCCUGUGCCAGUCUGACCCCAGAAGAGAGUAGAGGUUCGGAUUGCGACCUCCGGUGGAGCAAUGCCACACUGGCCAAGGUGAUGAUGAGUAAUAAUAAUAGUAGUAUUUUUGUUGUUUUUGUUUUCAUUGUGCAGUUCUAUUUAUUAUCAACAUAACAAAAACUGUGUGAAUUUCAUAUGCAGGAAGUUAACUGGAAAAAUCAACAGAUUUCCAUGUUGGAGCUUGAGAAGGCACAACUUCUUCAGCAGCUGUUGUCUUAUAGCACACCUUAUUGAUGACAUACAUCCACACGUUUUCAACUUUAAAUCACAAAAAGGUUUCAUUAAAAUCAUGCAGCAAACUGUAAAUUUUAAAACAGCUUUGAAAAUACAGAAUGUUAAAAUUAAUUUAAACUCUGGUAUACACUGUCCAUCCUGUCUUCCUUUUUUUUUAACAGAAAGAGACUUAUAGUACAAUGGUCAAUAGUUUUUCUUUUUUUUUUUCUUAAAAUAUUUCAAGGGAUUGAAUUGUGCUUAUGUUUUUUCACCUUUAGUGGUGAGUUUAAAAUAUUAAAACAGGUAGUAUUGAACAGACUUAGAUGUUCAUCUACAUCCAAGUGACAUGUAGAUGAAUUCAUAUCCUGAUUAGCACUUAGCUGUAGAAAAAUUUGUCACUUAAACACAGUCAAUGACAUGUGUCAAGUGUGGAAGUGGAGAAUGUCUAUGGGUAUUCCCAUCCAAUGGCACAGAAAACAAUAUGGGCAGAUGAUAAGAUAAAUCUGCAUCAUCAGUUAUAAUGUCACUGAUAAACCAUCAGAUAAAAUCAAGCCCAAGGUGUAGCCCUGAACAUGAGUUGGUCCAGACACCUAUUGCAUAAAGUCAAAAGUAUCAAGUAGACUAACUGUGAUUGUGUUUGUCUGAAAGAGGAAUGUCAGAUAUGCCUAAGAUGCCCUGAGGGUGAGUAAAUCAUGGGCUUAUUUUCAUUUUUAGAUGAACUAUCCCUUUGAUUUAUCCCUUACUUUAUGUAAGUUAAUCGCUUUUUUGUUUCUCGUGGAUGUUAUUAUGGCCGUGAAAUUAUUUUGCAGUAAUUUGUUCAGUAAUUUAUUCACAGUUCCUGAUUACACCUUCAGUGAAUAAACAUGUGCUUUUAUCAUUUUCUUCCUAGCUG
ensembl:lncRNA